rnacentral:rRNA from 1 species
UACGUAGGGGCCUAGCGUUGUCCGGAUUUAUUGGGCGUAAAGAGCUCGUAGGCGGUUUGGUAAGUCGGGUGUGAAAUCUCCACGCUCAACGUGGAGGGGCCACCCGAUACUGCCAUGACUGGAGUCCGGUAGGGGAGUGUGGAAUUCCCGGUGUAGCGGUGAAAUGCGCAGAUAUCGGAAGGAACAUCAGUGGCGAAAGCGACUUCCUGGACCAAUACUGACGCUCAUGUGCGAAGGCGUGGGGAGCAAACAGG